AAAAAACACCUCGGAUCGCUCUGGAAGGAAAUAAAAAAAGGCACCGAAAGCGGUGACGAGGUCGCGACUGGCGGAAGCGGCGACAAGGUCAGAUCCCCCGACGGAAGCGGCGGCGACCCGGCGACCGUACGCCGACCACCUCGCUCUCGGACCCUCCUUCCUCAUCGAGUUCGACGAGAUCAGCGCCGGCCCCAUCCAGAUGGUCCAUCAGCUUAACUCAUUUGAGCUGCCGGGCAGCCGUGUGCAAUCACAAGGAUUUCUUCACAUGGAUGUUGAUCGUGCCCGCGGCUGUGUGCAGUCAGAAGGACUUGGUGCUAUUGAUGACGAUCGUGCUCGCAGUCGUGGGCAAUCACAAGGACUUGGUGAUAUUGAUGACAAUCACGGGGCUGUUGAGUAUCCUCGUGAGAAUAUUAACUUAAUGAAGUAGAAUAUCAAUAUCAGAAGCACAUGAAUGGUAAUACAACUUGCAUAUCAUAUCUUCACUUUACAUAUACAUGUCAAGCUCUGCGUGAUACAUACUGGUUCCACAUUCCUUGUGCAAUAUGAUCUCGCAUUUGAUUUCCUACUUGUCUGGAAUAAUUAAAUGCAUGUAUAUCACCAUGAUAGUCGUGGUCUCCAUUUGGCACAUCAACAAUCUGGUUCGGGUCAAUCUCCAUGGGAGCAUCUUUGGGCCACUCCAUAUCUCCUUUGUGUAGGCGUAUGAAAUUGUGCAGAACACAACAAGCCACAGAUAUGUCAAUUUGUUUAUCAACUGAAUAAUGUGCAGCAACUUUCAGGAUAGGAAAUCUCAUUUUUAGUAUGCCGAUAAUUCUCUCUAUAUGAUUCCGAAGUUGAGCAUGACGAAGGUUGAACAAUUCCUUGUAAUUUUGUGGCCUUUGACGUGCUUCUCCUUGUUCUUUUAGAUGAUACCUAGUACCACGGUAUGGAGCAAGAAAUUGGGGUGUGUUUGCAUAACCAGCAUCAACAAGUCCUGCAGAUUACCUCCAAAACCCGACCACAGGAGGUGCCUGCUGCGAACAACGAGUUGUGGCGUGGUCAGGGUGUUCUCCUACUACAAGUUGUUUUUGCUGGAGUACUGUUGUGCAAUGGCGCUCUGUUUCUGAUGUUGCUCAAAGCAGAGCACCCACACCCCUCCCACCCAUGGAUCGUCAUUCAUGUUGUUUGGGUUUAAUUUCUUGUUGCAUGUAUUUUAAGGAAUUAAGUAGCUGCUUUUGUUGGCGUCAGUGCAAUAUGAUGUGGUGGUCUGGACUCUUUUGGUGUAGAAGUGGCAACUAUUUCUUACAGCUAGAGCCUACAUCCUAUAUAUAUUUUCUGAAUCUAUGUAUAGAUUAAAUUGAUCGUGCGUCUGUACAUGUAAGUUGAAGUUUUUAGAAAGAUCUCCUCGCUAUAUACACGGAAUUUGGUUGGAAAACAGUGAA